rnacentral:rRNA from 1 species
CCACCCUUUAAUGUUUGAUGUUCUAACGUUGACCCGUGAUCCGGGUUGCGGACAGUGUCUGGUGGGUAGUUUGACUGGGGCGGUCUCCUCCUAAAGAGUAACGGAGGAGCACGAAGGUUGGCUAAUCCUGGUCGGACAUCAGGAGGUUAGUGCAAUGGCAUAAGCCAGCUUGACUGCGAGCGUGACGGCGCGAGCAGGUGCGAAAGCAGGUCAUAGUGAUCCGGUGGUUCUGAAUGGAAGGGCCAUCGCUCAACGGAUAAAAGGUACUCCGGGGAUAACAGGCUGAUACCGCCCAAGAGUUCAUAUCGACGGCGGUGUUUGGCACCUCGAUGUCGGCUCAUCACAUCCUGGGGCUGAAGUAGGUCCCAAGGGUAUGGCUGUUCGCCAUUUAAAGUGGUACGCGAGCUGGGUUUAGAACGUCGUGAGACAGUUCGGUCCCUAUCUGCCGUGGGCGCUGGAGAACUGAGGGGGGCUGCUCCUAGUACGAGAGGACCGGAGUGGACGCAUCACUGGUGUUCGGGUUGUCAUGCCAAUGGCACUGCCCGGUAGCUAAAUGCGGAAGAGAUAAGUGCUGAAAGCAUCUAAGCACGAAACUUGCCCCGAGAUGAGUUCUCCCUGACUCCUUGAGAGUCCUGAAGGAACGUUGAAGACGACGACGUUGAUAGGCCGGGUGUGUAAGCGCAGCGAUGCGUUGAGCUAACCGGUACUAAUGAACCGUGAGG